AUUGAACGCUGGCGGCAGGCCUAACACAUGCAAGUCGAGCGGAUGAAGGGAGCUUGCUCCUGGAUUCAGCGGCGGACUGGUGGGCAAUUCCUAGGAACCUGCCUGGUAGUGGGUUAUAACGUCCGGAAACGGGCGCUAAUACCGCAUACGUCCUGAGGGAGUAAGUGGGGGAUCUUCGGACCUUCCGCUAUUACAUGAGCCUAGGUCGGAUUAGCUAGUUGGUGGGGUAAAGGCCUACCAAGGCGACGAUCCGUAGCUGGUCUGAGAGGAUGAUCAGUCACACUGGAACUGAGACACGGUCCAGACUCCUACGGGAGGCAGCAGUGGGGAAUAUUGGACAAUGGGCGAAAGCCUGAUCCAGCCAUGCCGCGUGUGUGAAGAAGGUCUUCGGAUUGUAAAGCACUUUAAGUGGGGAGGAAAAGCAGUAGGUUAAUACCUUGCUGUUCUGACGUUACCAAAAGAAUAAGCACCGGCUAACUUCGUG
rnacentral:rRNA from 1 species